GGUCUUCCAACCCGUGGUGGACUGCCGGAGCCAAGUACGGCGACAGAAGAGGAAGCCGGUGUGAAUCCGGCGCGGUCCCGCCACUGUGACCGGGGAAGGAAACUCCCCGGGAGCCAGGAACUCUCCCCGCCGGUCUCGUCGAAC
rnacentral:ncRNA from 17 species